AUACUAGCUGUUUGCAACAGACAGGAGUGUGAUUCAUCAUGAGUGAAAAUUAUGCUGCCACUGGGAGUGGCAAUGGCUUUAUAUCCUCUUGCUCCAGAAGUCCUGUCAUGAAGCUCAACAGUUGAGUUGACACCAUCGGUCCUGAGGAGAAGCAGGCAAUUGCAGCGCCACAAUGUGCUCUCUCAGUGCAGCCAAUGCCAAGUUCUGUCUCGACUUUUUCAGAGAGCUGAGCAAAAGGAAAAGAAAUGAAAACAUCUUCUUCUCUCCACUGAGUCUCUCAGCUGCCUUUGGUAUGGUUGUUCUUGGAGCCAGGGGCAGCACACUUGAAGAAAUUGAGAAGGUAUUUCAUUUCAGUGAAGUUUCAAGCAAUACAAGCCAGGGAAGCGGAUGCCCUUCUGAGAAGUGCGACGAAGCUGGAGGAGUCCAUUCCCAGUUCCAGGCUCUGUUGGCUGCAAUCAAUGAACCCAGACCAGGCUGCUCGCUCACCAUUGCCAACAGGCUUUUUGGAGAAAUUACUUAUCCAUUCUUCCAGCAAUACUUGGAUUCCACAAAGAAAUUCUAUCGAGCAGAACUGGAAGCAGUCAAUUUUAAAUACACUGAAGAAGAAGCCAGAGAAAAGAUUAAUGUCUGGGUGGAAAAUGAGACAAAAGGUAAAAUCAAAGACCUAUUUGCUGCCGGGUUUAUUGAUCCCUCCACUGUACUUGUCCUGGUCAAUGCUAUAUAUUUUAAAGGAAAGUGGGCAGUAGAAUUUAAGAAAGAAGACACUAAGGAAACAUAUUUCCAACUGAACAAGAAUGAGAAAAGGCCAGUGCAGAUGAUGUUUCAAGAAGGUUAUUUUAACAUGGCCAUCAUAGAGGAACCGAAAAUGAAAGUGCUAGAGCUCCCGUACUUUAAUAAUGAACUGAGCAUGUUCAUUCUUCUUCCUGAAGUUGUCUGUGAGGACUUUACUGGCCUAGAACAGGGAAUUAAGAGCACAGCUUUCGAACACAGCUGGGGUGGAGGAUGCUGCUCCCCGUGUCUGCUUCCUCCCGUGUGUUUUCUGCUCCCUCCCUUACGCUACCAUUACUAGUUGCCUAACUUGUUGAUGAGCAGUUCUCCAGGAUGUAAUUCAAGAGGAGAAUUUUUGGUAAGCAUUUCAUAGCCACAUUACAUUCAUAGAAGUUGGUAGCCACAUUCCAUUUUAUUGAAGGGUUUGGCUCUUCAGAACUUUUCCACAAGUGAUAUUCCUGGAUCCCAUGUUGCCCUGCUGAAGGCUGCAAUGAAAUAACGUAAUAGCUUUCAUUUUAAAAAUCACAGAAUGGUUGCGGUUAGAAGGGACCCCUGGAGACCAUGUAGUCCAGCCCACCUGCUAAAGCAGGUUCACGCAGAGCAGAUCACACAGGAAUGUGUCCAGGCGGGUCUGAAUGUCUCCAGAGAAGGAGACUCCACAACCUCUCUGGGCAGCCCGUUCCAGUGCUCUGGCACCCUCAAAGUAAAGAAGUUUCUUCUCAUAUUCAGAUGGAAACUCCCGUGCUUCAGUCUGUGCCCGUUGCCCCUCACCCUAUCAUUGGGCACCACUGAAAGGAGUCUGGUCCCAUCCUCUUGACACCCAACCUUGAGAUAUUUACAAAUAUUUAUGAGAUCACCUCUCAGUCUUCUCUUCUCCAGGCUGAACAGUCCCAGCUUUCUCAGUCUCUCUUCAUGAGAAAGUUGCUCUAGGACCCUAAUCAUCUUCGGAAGGAAUAAUAUUCUAAGGAAGAUAACCUUAUUUCUUGGCAUCUGCUUAAAUAAAACUGCUUUGCUGUACUAAUCUUACUUUAACAGAUCAGAAAUGAACAUACCCAAGAUAAGGCAAAUAGAUAGUUUCUGUUUCAUCUCGUGCUAAUUUUCCUGUCAAUGUGAAGUUGUGUAGUUAGAUUUCAGCAAGGCCUUGGACACUGUAUCCCACAGCACUCUCCUGGAGAAGCUGCAGCUCAUGGUAUGGAUGGGUGAACUCUGUGAUGGAUAAAGAACUGGCUGGAUGGCCGGGCCCAAAGAGUUGUGGCGAAUGGAGCCACAUCCAAUUGGCAGCCGGUCACGAGCAGCGUUCCCCAGGGCUCAGUAUUUUGGCCAGUUCUGUUGAAUACCUUUAUCAACAAUUGGCAUGAGGACACCACACUGUGAAAAAAAUUUAAAGCUACUGGAGAGUGUCUGGAAGAGAGCUACAAAGUUAGUGAAGAGUUUGGAAAGGAAAUUGUAUAAGGAGCAGCUAAAGUCACUCUUCUUGUUCAGCCUGGAGGAGACUGAGGGAAGACCUCAUGGGGCUACAGCUUCCUCACAAGGCAGGAGGAGGAGCAGGCGCUGGUCUCUUCUCUCUGGUGACCAACGACAGAACCGGAGGGAAUGGCAGGAGGAUGUGCCAGGGGAGGUUCAGGUUGGACAUGAGGAAAAGGUUCUUCACCCAAAGGGUGGUGGAGCACUGGGACAGGCUCCCCAGGGAAGUGUCAUGGCCUGAAGCCUGACAGUGUUCAAGAAGAGACUGGACAACACUCUCAUACAUAUGGUGUGAACUGUGGGGUUGUCCUGUGCAUGGACAGGAGGCGGACUCGAUGAUCCUUGUGGGUCCGUUCCAACUCAGGACUUUUUAUGAUUCUGUUCUAUGAUUCUGUAAAGAUCUGAGGGUCAUCUAACAGGCAUAAGGCAGAUUUUCCAAACUGUACAACAACAUAGACACAGGCUGGAGCUGCCUGCCUGGCACAAGCCUGCAUCGUGCUGAAAUCUGCACCCUUUACCUGCCCAACGGGGACCAUUCCUGGAUGGGUCUUGCCUGCAUCUCACCUCCCCAACCGUGGUCGCUCCAUUUAGCUUUCAGAGGGCUAGGACUCUCGAUCCAUCCUCAGCAAAAGAAAACACCGCACCAGCUAAUGGGGAUCUUCUGUAGUCACCAGGUUCCUCUUCAACAACUGCAAUAAGGAAAACCAAACCAAACCCAAUCAAACCUCAAACACAAAAAACCCAAACCAGUCAAACAAAAAAAACAACACACCGACUAGGCAAAUCAAAAAGCAAAACCAAACCCACUUACAAGCAUACUUUCUAUUAUAUCUGCUGCUGAACCUUGACUGGUCAUGAAGCUCAAUGAACUUCAGAUACAUGCCUCCGCUUCUCUAGCUCAGACAGCUCAAAAGCUGCAGACUACUGAAGGAACAAAAGAGCAGCAGAACACCAACCCGAAAGCAGCCCAGGAGCAGAAUGAGCUCCCUUAUGAGAAGCUGUGGCUCAUAUAACCUGGGCCCUACCCACCACCCUUACCACAGUCACCUGGACCCUCACUGGCAAUGACAAUACCUGCUCUUUUACUACAUCUGUUGCAUUUGCAAUGUGACUGAGUAGGGAGUUAAAUUUAAUUUUUCUAGGGCAUAGGUAGAACAAGAUAGAUAUCAUACUAAGCUGUGUAAAAAUGUAGCUCAUUAAAUGCAGUAACUAUAUUAUUGUUAGAAUUUUGUGCUGAAAUUUCCUGUAAAAAAAUAAAAUUAUAUUGCUUUACACUGAA